GCGCCGGGCUUUGUCCUCCGCGGGCGGCGCGGGGCAUUGUGGGACUGUGGGGGUUUGUGAGGCGGCCGCCGCCACCGCCCCCUCAGGGAGCCCCAGGCUCCGAGCGGCCCCUCUGUGUCCCCUCCAUGUCCCCGCCGGGUCCCGCCGCUGCACGGGACAGGGGAGCGGCGGCUCUGGCAGGCCCGGCCCCGGGGCGGGGAAGGAGGAGGAAGAGGAGGAGGAGGAGGGAGCCGCGGCCUCGGGGCUCUGUGGGCAGCGGGGCGGGAGGCCCGGGCACCCCGCGGGUGCCGCUCCUGGGAAAGGAGGGAAGACACAAAUUCGAGAUUAGUGUGGAGGGUUUGUGCUUUUUGGGUCGUGCCUGUGGAGUUUUUGUGGCAUGAGCGUUCCCCAGGGAUCGGAGGGGCAGCAGCCGCAGCGGGAGCUGUGACCCCAAACGCCUUUCCCAGGGUGGGAAAAGGUUUGUGUUGAGUGCACAAGCACAUUUCAGCGAUCCUGGGUCUGUGCUGUUGGUGGCACUGAGGACCAGGUCUGCCUUGUACAGCCCUGCUGUGGCUGCUGCAGGAUGAGAAGCAGCAGCCCUGGCAAACGUUAGAGUCAUAAAAUCCCAGAAUGCUUUCUAUUGGAAGGGACCUUAAAGCCCAUUCAGUUCCACCUCCUGCCAUGGACAGGGACACCUUCCAAUAUCCCAGGUUGCUCCAAGCCCCGUCCAACCUGGCCUUGGACACUUCCAGGGAUGGGGCAGCCACAGCUUCUCUGGGCAACCUGUGCCAGGGCCUCCUCACCCUCACAGGGAAGGAUUCCUUCCCAAUAUCCCAUCUAACCCUGCUCCCUGGCAGCCACAGGGACACUCAUGUUAACCCCUUGCACCAGGGGCUGUUUGCCCCGAGGGGGGUUUGGCAGGAGGGGAUGUACAAACUGGGACCAGUUCUGCUCUGGAGCGACAGAACUAACGGUGUCGUUCCUUUCCUUAGCAGACAGGAGAGUAACUGGAUCCCAUACAAUAUUCUCCAGAUUGUAAAUGUAAUUGCCAGAUUUUUAUCAUGUAAUUACCAGAUGAUUAUCAUGUGUUUACCGGGUUGCUUUACCAGAAGGAGGAUCCCAUUAUUUCUGCUGGUGGAGUAAUAAAAGCACUUAACUUCCCCGGGCACACACACUGGUUUGAGGUGUUGUGUAAUCUUGGGAAGAGAUUUGUGCUGUGAGUAUCCCUGGAACACACCAGUUACAUAACAGAGCACUGAGCAGUGUUUGCGGGUAACACAAAUCCACUGCAUUUUCCACAGCACUGUGAAGGGUUUAACAGGCAGGAGUGGUGACAUUGUAACAUAAGCGUUCACUUGUGUUGUCUUAUUGCCAUUCUGCAAUGGAACAGGUUGCCCAGAGAAGCUGUGGCUGCCCCAUUCCUGGAAAUAUCCAAGGCCAGGUUGGAGCAACCUGGGAUAGGGGAAGAUGUCCCUGCCCAUGGUGGGGGGUAGAGCCAGAUGAGCUGUGGGGUCCCUUUCACCUCAAACAAUUCUGGGAUUCUAUGAUUCUCUGUACUACCAGAACGGAUAUUUAAUGCCAUAAAUCCACUGGUGAGUGUAAGAAUGGCUUAUUCCUGUUCCAUUUACUGGAUUUCCAUUGCUCCUGUAGGGUGCUGUAGGAGGUGUUUUAAAGCACAGGCCAGUGAAACAGGUUCUCAUGGUGCUUUCCCUAGAGCUUGGCCUCAUUCUAUGUCAUUUUGUCAGAACUUGGAGUGCCUGAGAUGAAAUUCUCUGUGGUAUAUUCCUACCUCUCUGGGCUGCAGGGCAGGGUGGGGAGCAGAGGGAAAACUGGAGUGUAAUGAGGAGGGAUUUGGGGGGCAGGUACAGACCUGGGGAGCAGUAUAAUUUGGGGAGGAGACUUGGCUGAAAGGCAGCGUUGAGUGAACGCGGCCCCUCUGUGGGCUCAGACACUGUGGAGACACGGGAGGGGGAGUGGCAGCAUGAGGGGAAAGGGGCAGCGAGCACUGGGGUCAUCCUUGGGCAGGGAGCAGAUCCAGGGGAGCUGGAGGCAGGGCAGGGAGCCGAGGGAGGCGGGACCACAGGGAGGAAUGGGAGGGUGAGCUGCCCGUGUCCCCUCCAUCCAGUGUGGAGCCACAUGCCUGCUGCUCCGUGGCAAAUCAUGGGGCUGUGGGGCACAGCAGCCCUCCGGUGUCGGUGCAGGGCUGUGUGGUGAAGGUCUGGUGUCCCUCAGGUGUUUUUUCAGGCUGGGAAAUGGGUGCAGUUCUGACAGAGGCUGAACACACACCGAUCAGAGAGCCGCUCAUUGACCCUGCUGCUGAGGGACCCGAGGGCUGGGUUUCUGUUCAGGGGCGGUACCUGCCGUCGCAGAGGCUUCUCAGCCUCCGAGUUACUCCGGCACGAUUUCCCGAGGCUGUCGCACACCGAGUCUCCCCGUGCCCAGGAGAUGGCAGUCCUGCAUUUGGACAGGGAGUGCAGUUCCUCUGAGGGCACCAGGGUUUCCUGAAGACGAAGUCCUGGGCCUGCGUGUUUGGCUCUGCUGGCGAGGGGAAGGCUACGACUGCAGGGACUGGUGGUCUGUGCUGUCAUGGGUGAUCCCGAAGCAGGGGUGGUGAGCCGUGAGGACAGUCUGUGCUCAGCAGGGAGGUAUUCCUGGGUGGGUAUUGAUGACACGAACCCCAGCUGUGGGUCGGUGUCACUGUCAGGGAGUUAUCACCACAGCUCUAUGCAGCUUCAGCUCCUCCAGGUGUGAAGGCUUUAAUCACAGCCAGAUAAAAGUGUCCUUGUGAGGAUGGAGCCCACCAUCAUGGAGCCUCACCACUGUCUGCCUCUUCCCAGCCAUGGCUGGUGCCUUAAGCAUUCCAGCAGGGAGUGCACGAUGGAAACCAUCGCCCCCUGCUCCCCACUUACAGCCCUCAGCUGUUGUUGUCCUUCCCCUCGGUCCCCAUCCUCCCUCGCCUUCACCAGCAUUCCCAAGUCACCCCUGUUCUGCCCGGGGCUCUCCAGCCCCUUCCCAGCCUGGCUCAGGGGCUGUGCCCUCUCUCCAUCUCCCAUCCCACACGCCUUUGGUCUGUGGGAGGUGACAUUCUCAGAGGGGCAAGAGGAACAGCAGAGCUGAGCAAGGGGCACAGUCCUGGAGGGGUGCUUGGAGCCAUCCAUGAUGCUCAGCCCUUCACAGAGGUCACUGGAGAGAACCAGCAACAAUCUGGCAUCUAAUUCUACAUUACUGGAAACUUGGCUCUGCUGUUACAGAGCAGGAGCCACUUGGAGUGACUUUCACUCUUGGGAUGAUGGCAAAGGAUCUGUUUGCUAAGCAAAAUGUCCAACCCAUUAUGGAAAUCCAUCGUUGAACCCAUCCCAGUUCUCUCUUCAUGAGGGAUAAGUGACAAACAUGUUGGGCAGUGCCACCCCCUUGGGCACAAGCUGAUGUGCCUCAGCUUCCAGGUGCCUGUCCUGCAGCUUCAAAAUUCUUCUUGCCUUUAUUGUUCUCCUUGGAAGUCGGUCAUCAGUGCUGGUGUCAGGGAUGAGGUGCUGCACAGAGCACCUGCAGAGGGGCUUCGGGUCACAGAUACACUGCAAACAGAGCUUCUAAAUCCGGAGACAGCUGGGCCCAGAGGGAGCCAACCAAAAAGAGCAUCUUCUCAAAUGUGAAUAUCCCCGGGGUGAGAAACCAGCUAGGGAAAGGUCUGACCUUCAAAGCAAGAAAGCAAACUUCAUGGAUUAUUUUUAGAGUAGAAACAGAGCUCUGUAGUGGGAAGUGCUGUCACAAUGCUCUGCUCAGCACUCCAAAAAUUGGUGGUUGUAGUCAUGUUGCAGAGCCAUAAACUCCUUUGGGGAAUGAAGCCUCUUCAUCCCUUUUCUCUUUAAAAUCACAUAAGCAAGUCUUAAAAAUUCCCCUCUUGAAAUUCUGUGUCUUAGUAGAUGCUUUGUGAUCUUUACUCUUUAAACUUUGCAAAUGUUUACGGUUGUAUAAAGCUGAACUGAAGCUGUCAGUUAUUUCUUGGUCACUCUCCUACUUAAGGAGGAAACACUUUGUUGUUCUUCAAACGUUUGCAACCCUAAGAGCUUCUUUUCAAAUGUUUCUUUGUGAAUAAAGAUGACCUGUGCCUUUACAUCCCAGCUGCCAGAUGCCAUCUCAGUGUGAACAGGGAGAUAAAUCCAUGUACAAACACACGCACAUGAGACCUUCCUCAGACUGGAUGCUGAGGGUAGAAAAACCUUUUCAGCAUGAAAUAUUUGCAUAAAUUGGGGAAUUAAUUUGUUAUCUCGUGAUUCUUUUGCAAACUAUGGGCCAGAAGACAGCUGCUCUCCUGGCCAGCCAGUCCUUCCUUUGAUGCCUGGCUCUGGCUGAAGGCUGGUUAAGAAGCACUGGCACUUAAAAGGGCAUUUUUAAAGUUGAAAGAUGUCCAGAGAGGAAACAGAAGCUUUUGGACUCACUUGAAACAACCUUCCACUGCUGUUAAACCCUGGUGGAACUGAGGGGAUUUAUCUGAGAAAAGGAGUUGAAUGCAGGGAGGCGAUGAAGCCGCAUCCCUGGGGAUGUUCUCAGAUUUUCCCUCUGCAGAGACAAAAGCAGAUUUACAGUGUGUGAGAGUGAGACUUAGGAGCUGUGACCCAGAGGAGCUGGUGAGUGGUGGGAGAGGUGACAUGUGGGGCUGGCCAUGGUCUGGCUCAUGGCCAGUGCAGAGAUGUGGCUCGUGCCCCAGCUUUCCUGGCCUGAGGGCACCUGGGGAGAUGCUGCAUUUAUGAUGUUUCCAGCAGCUUCCAAACACACUCAGAGGUGUUUGACCCUCUCGUUUGCAAAGCCCUUCUCUAGGUCAUGGACCCCCUGCCACGAUGGACCUGUGGUGACACAGGAUCCUUGGGCACAGCAUCUUGCUGUUCUUGGGAUCUGCACUUGAAAACUGUUUCUUCUUGUGUUCCUACACCCAAAGCAAUGAUGUUCCUCAGCCAGAUUCCCCAUCCCUCCCCUGCAAUCCAGACCUCCAGGUUAUCCCAUUCUGCUCCUCCAGGCUGGUGGCAACCAGUGAUUCAAGGACCAGCAGAAGUCAAGCGCCCCAAGAUAAAAAGGAGAGAGCUGAUUAAUCCUGGAGCUGGAAGAGCUGCAGAGAGAGAACUUCAGGGAGGAUUUAGUUAGCAGUGGCCCAGAUACAUCAAACCAUCUCCUGCAUAAAGCCAUAUCCCAUUACUGCUCCUCUGUGCAGCACAGCUUAUGGUACUUAUCCUAUUAGAAGCCUGACAGUGCUAUGAUAUAUUCCAAGGAGUCUGUGAUAAACUUCCUGUCGCUGUUU